CAAUGGAACUCAGUCAAUUGUAAGCCCUCGAGAGCUCCUUUUAGUCUCGCGUCUCUGGUUUCCUGGGUGAUGUAGACAUCUGCACUCAUGGGAGAACAAUACACAACUUUGUUACCAGAAGGGCUUCCUGCCAUGAUGUUCUGCCUCACUAUUCCCCAGAAACAACUGAGCCAAAUGACCGUGGACUGAAAUGUCUGAAACUUUGAACAGAUUUGUUCUACUCUACACUCCUGCCAUGAUGUUUUUCUUCACUAUGGCCCAGAGAAAACAGAGCCUGGUGACCAUGGACUGAAACUUCUGAAACUGUGAGACAAA